rnacentral:lncRNA from 1 species
AAUUUGAUUAUUUACCCAUCUGAGUCUGAUAGAUUCUAUUUUUCUCUUUCUUCAAUAAANAGAGUAACGCCAUGGUAAGGCGUAAGUCAUCGGUUCAAAUCCGAUAAGGGGCUUUGUAAAACCCCAAUCUAGUAUUCAUAUUUGAUGGGAGAAUUGUAUUUUUAUUUGUAAUAAAAAAAGUAACUAACUGGAUAAUACAUUAUCAUUAUACUUAGUUAUAAAGUUGAACAUUUGUUUAGUCAAUUUUCAUUAGUAUGAAUUUAGGAAUAAUGAAAAGUCACUUCUUGAAUCACCGAA